GACAGAACUUGAGCCCUCAUGGAUCCUAGUUGGGUUCGUUAACCACUGAGACACGAUGGGAAUUCCUGCCAAGGGCUUUUAAGCAUCAUUUAUUAACAGAAACACAGAUUAAAGCAAAAUAUUAAUUCCAAAAAUACACAAAACCUUCUAAAUAUAUAAGCAAAAAUCAAAGAGGAUGUAGUAGGUAUCUAUUAUUAGUGGGGGGGGAACAGGUGCAAUUAAAGGAGACUAAAGAUUUGCAAUAUAGGGAAUCUAUAAUUCUGACAGAAAGGUCUAGAAAAUCCUAGGGAAUUUAGAACUUCAUAUACUAGGUCUUAACUUCUUCACUGACAUUCAAGGCCCUCUAAAAAUUAAUACAAACCCAGGUUUUAGCCUUAGUUCUGCCUUCCCUUUUGUGCAGCCCAGUCUUGGCCACACUGAUCCUGCUGCCCCUUGAGCUCAGGGCUCAGCCUGUCCUGCAGCUACACAGGGAGGGUGGGAUGGAGGAAUAGCAAGGAGUGAGUGUGUGAGUGUGUAUGUGUGGUGUGUAUAAGGGGUGUGACUGAGCACGCGAGUGUGGGAGGGGGUAAGUGUGUGAGGGGUGAGUGUGCGAAAGGGGUGAGUGUGUGUGGUGUGCAUAAGGGGUGAUUGUUGGGGUAUGUGAGGGAGUAACUGGGGGGAGUGGGGGGAGAGGGUGAGCGUGUAUGGGGGAAGGUGACAGUGAGUGGGUCACUGUGGGGGGUGGUGAUAGGGUGAGUGUGUGUGUGUGCGUGUGUGUGUGAGAGAGACGGUGACUGUGGGGGGUGGUGAGAGGGCAAGUAUGUGAGGGGUGACCCUGUGUGUGCGUAUGUGAAGGUGACUGGGGCAUAGUGAGAAGGUGAGUGUGUGUUAGGGUGACAGUGAGGGUCUCACUGUGGGGGGUGGUGAGAAGGUGAGUGUGUGAGGGGUGACCGGGCAGCAGGACGGGUGCAGGGAAAGUAGCGCCGGGGGCUGACGCGGGCCGCCUUUGCGUCCACUGCGCCUGCGCUCCUUGCGCCUGGGCGCAGGCCCCGGGACGUGGGUGCUGCCCCCAGAGUGGCUCUGCCGAGAAAGGCUGUCCCCCAAGCCUUGGAGCUGCGCCAUGGGGCUUUUAAGCCUGACGUAUUUCUUCCUUUGACUUGGAGAAGAAGAUGAAUAACUGUGCUGAUGAGCGACCUGAGGAUUUGGGGUGUUCUGUCAACAAUAUGGAGACCACCGUUUCCCAUUAACUCUGGAUAUCAGUCUCCAAGACGUCAGCUUUUCUUAAUGCACUGAGUGUUUUACUCUAUAGAUCACUGUUCUCAACCUGCUGACAACACCCAAGUAGAUCAACAGCUGUCAUGGUUCAGCCCAAGAGGGACUGAGGUGAAGGCAGUGUCUGUCAUUAAGAUGAACACCACCAGGAUCCAAGUUGCCCUGGUUGAAACAAACAAACAAAAAAUCACAGCUAGAUGGCUAGACUGAAGAGAAGGAUGAUUUCCCAGUCAACCUGCAGAUCCUCAUACCAAGCAGAGCCGCCCAGCUGAACCCAGCCUAGACAAACUCUAGCUUCCCUGCAGAAAUAGAAUAUCGUAUCUAUGGAACUUAAAGAAGCUGAUGUGAAGAGUGGUCACUCUGAUAGGAGAAACGGCAUGGACUUUGCACAACACUGCUGCUUAAUAAGAAACAACAAGAGAGGAAUUAGUUACAGCAAUAUAGGAAGUAUUUCCUAACAUAAACACUCUAAUCUAGAGUGUACAUUGUUUCAGGAAAGAAAUAUCAAGAUAACAGCCACUCUUAAGCAUAACAAGGAGGAAUUUUUCAGUAUCUGAAAAAAGGAGGAAUCUUAUAGAAAUCCAAAAUAAAUAAAUAAAUAAAAAUUUCCAGAAAAAGAAAUCCAUACCUAUUUCAAGUUGUUCUCAAACUGCUCAACAGGUCAAAGUGCUGGAAAUCAAGCUAGAAAACUGUUAAGAACUCUGGAGAAUAAAGCUUCUCAGAAAAAGCAAAAGCACAUUGUCAGAUACAAAUACACAGAAUUCCACCAUCAGGGCAGUCUUCCUGAAUAAGCUGCUGGAGAACGUAUGCCAGGACAUUGAAAACAACACAUAUAAAAACAAGCUUGAAAUACAGAAAUCUUGAUAGGUGGACAGGCAUCCAGCAGAAAAGUGAAUAAGAUGCAGAGAUAAAUUUGAAUGUGUUUCAAAUGGUUAUAAAAUUAAUUACUAAAAUAUAUUUUAAGUUAAUUAAAUUGAUCACUUUUAUUUCUCUGAUAAUAGAAACCAAAUUAUGGCCUCCAUAACCACAGAAUUCUGAGGGAAAACUGGGAUUAGAGUGGUGUAGUGUAAAAGGAGACAGUAUUACAUUUCUCAUCUUCCAUGAGAGAUGAUUUUUUAAAUUACUAAUUUAUUACUUAAUAAGUUGAGUUAAUUUAAUAUAGGCCUAGGAUUUGUCUUUCAAAAGUCUAAGUUAAUCACUAUUAAAAUUGAAAGCACAAAAUUUAUUUUUAAAUUUUUUUCAUAAAAAUAGCAAAUAAAAAUAAAUAUAUUUUUUUUUGUUCAGCAAAAAUGAACAAACUAGAAAAGCAUGUACAGAAAUGGCAAAGAUAAAAAGUGUUAAACAAUAACACUACCAUCCAUAACAAUUGUAAUGUAUAAGCAACACAUCCAAAACAAAGAACACAGAAAAGCUUAAAACAAUUAAGUUGACAAAAAGCAGAGCAGAUAACUCCAAAUGAAUUAUCUUUUGGAGGAAGCUUUUGUCUGUAUAAAAUAAUUGAAAAAGAAAAAGAGCAUUUAUGUUGUACAGACAAAAGCUAUAAUCAAUUCUGAAGAUAAAGUGAACAAUAGAGUAUUUACAAGGAAGUGAAGCUAUAGAAAGACUGUUAAAAAUACAAUUAUAUUGAAAUUAUAUUUGACACAGUGCUGUCAAUCUAUGACAAGAAUACAAAGGCAAAAAUAAAGCUAUAAAAGUUGUUGAUAAAAAUAGAGAACAAAUUUACCAAUAUUUUAAUAAUAUGUGAUUGUAUGCUUGAGAUCCAAGGAAAUAACUUAAAGUGAGUAAAUAUAAGAUAAAUAUACAAAUCUGCAUAUAUUAAAGAUUCUUCUUAAGAUGGUAGAAUAGGCUGAUGCCAGAAAGUGGAAACUGCUCUCCAAACAUAAAUGUGGGAUACAUAUAAUUUUAAACUGUUAUUUCAUAGCUGAAGUCAAAAGUAAGGCAGCAGAAAUCCACAGGUCACAAAUAAAGCAGGAAUCAUAAAUAAUCAUAAAUAAAAUAGAUCUAGCUCUUAGGGACUAGGGCUUUAAUGCUGUCAUGGUGAUGAGAUAGAAGUCAGGCCUUGGGACUGAAACUAGAACUGUCUCCCCACAUAAAAGGAGGAGAUGGAAAAUGAGGAAUCCUAGUCAUAACAAGAAUAGAGAAAUUCUGUCUGCUUAUUAUAGGGGAUAACAUGGAAUUGGGCUUUCUUCUAAGCCCAUGGCAGAGGGUGUGGGAAAAUAGAGUAUCUCUUUGCAGAUAACAUAGCAUUAUAUAUAUUAAAGACUCCACACACACACACAUAUACAAAAACCUGUUAGAAUAAGCAAAUUCAGUAAAUUUGCAGGAUAUAAACUCCACAGACAAAAAUCAACUGCAUUUCUGUACACUAGCAAUGAACUAUUGGAAAGAGAAAUCAAGAAAAAAUUCCAUUUGCAAUAGGAGCAGAAAGAAAAAAGAAAGGAAGG